AGCAGCAGCAAUUCAGCACCAGCGUAGCAGAUCUCUUCUGCCAAGACCAAAAACAUUAACCCUGUCAUGUACAUUACCAUGCUAAAAGAGU